rnacentral:rRNA from 1 species
GACGAACGCUGGCGGCGUGCCUAAUACAUGCAAGUCGAACGCUGAAGGAGGAGCUUGCUUCUCUGGAUGAGUUGCGAACGGGUGAGUAACGCGUAGGUAACCUACCUGGUAGCGGGGGAUAACUAUUGGAAACGAUAGCUAAUACCGCAUAAGAGUAGAUGUCGCAUGACAUUUGCUUAAAAGGUGCAAUUGCAUCACUACCAGAUGGACCUACGUUGUAUUAGCUAGUUGGUGAGGUAACGCCUCACCAAGGCAACGAUACAUAGCCGACCUGCGAGGGUGAUCGGCCACACUGGGACUGAGACACGGCCCAGACUCCUACGGGAGGCAGCAGUAGGGAAUCUUCGGCAAUGGACGGAAGUCUGACCGAGCAACGCCGCGGGAGUGAAGAAGGUUUUCGGAUCGUAAAGCUCUGUUGUAAGAGAAGAACGAGUGUGAGAGUGGAAAGUUCACACUGUGACGGUAUCUUACCAGAAAGGGACGGCUAACUACGUG